AUUUGGCUCACCCAAUUAACCAACGCCCAACAAAUUGAACUCAACAAUAACUCAUUUACGGGAGAACUUUCAGCAACGUGGUGGUUGAAGAUGACGGCGUUGAGACGAAUCUACGUGUCCAUGAACCAGUUGGCCGGAACCAUUCCUAAUGAGCGAGUUGCCGUUCGAGUCACUCAAUCUCUAUGAGAAUCAAUUAGAAGGCAACUCAUUUUCCGAUGAAAUUGCAAAAACCAUAACCGGUGCUGCAAAUUUUUCGGCUUUGUUUUUGUCAAAGAACAGAUUUUCCAGUACCAUUCCGGAGGAGAUUUGUUUUCUUGAUAAGCUUCUUGAUUUUAUGGGCUAUGAAAAUUAGUUUUCUGGGCCUCUACGGUGAUAUUCCGUCUUUGUAUGCUAAGCCUGGUUCUGUGAUGAGAGAGAUGAGAAGAAAAACAUUGGUUAUGCUUGGCUAUUGAGAUCGAUCUUUGUGCUUGCUGGGCUGGUGCUUAUCGUGGGAGUUCUGUGGUUCUAUUGGAAGUAUAUGAAUUUCAAGAAGGCGAAACAGGCUAUAGAUAGAUCGAAAUGGUCCUUGAUGUUAUUUCAUAAGUUGGGUUUCGAUGAGUACGAGAUAUUGGAUGGUCUUGAUGAAGAUAAUGUCAUUGGAAGUGGGUUGUCUAGAAAGGUUUACAAGGUUGUGCUGAGCAGUGGCGAGGUGGUUGUUGUGAAGAUGAUCAAGAAAAAUUUGAAGCUAGCUGGUGAGAGCAGUGACAUUGAGAAAGACAGUUAUCAAGACAAUGGGUUUGAAGCAGAGAUCGAGACAUUGGGGAAGAUUAGGCAUAAGAACAUUGUUAAGCUAUUUUGUUCAUCUCUGUUCUUGUUGUAGCUAGAAACAACCACUAAAAUGGAGGAAUGAAAGAAUUAGAAGACGACAACAUAAAAAAGACCAAAAAGUCCUCCUAAUUCACGGUCCAUAGAUGGCAUAAGUCACGGAGGACUAAAAGUGUCCAACGAUUAAAAAGCGUGGCUAGAAUCUGACCAUUUUUAUUAUGGAGGACUAAACCUGGCAAACGCCUAAUAAAUCUAGGACCAAAAGUUGGAAUUAACUCAAAGAGAAAUGGCUGAGUGAAGCCAAUAAUCUGUGCCUAUUUACCCAUCAGGGGCAUUCUGAGAAUUGAACUCGGGACCUCUCGCACCCUAAGCGAAAAUCAUACCACUAGACCAAAUGCCCUUUGUUAAUGUUAAUGUCAUCCGUUAUUUUUGA